GAUGAAGAACGUAGCGAAAUGCGAUAAGUAGUGUGAAUUGCAGAAUUCAGUGAAUCAUCGAAUCUUUGAACGCACAUUGCGCCCCUUGGUAUUCCAUGGGGCAUGCCUGUUCGAGCGUCAUUUGUACCUUCAAGCUUUGCUUGGUGUUGGGUGUUUGUCUCGCCUCCGCGUGUAGACUCGCCUCAAAACAAUUGGCAGCCGGCGUAUUGAGUUCGGAGCGCAGUACAUCUCGCGCUUUGCACUCACAACGACGACGUCCAAAAGUACAUUUUUACACUCUUGACCUCGGAUCAGGUAGGGAUACCCGCUGAACUUAAGCAUAUCAAUAAGCGGAGGA
rnacentral:misc_RNA from 1 species